UAACCGGGGCAGGAAUAGUCCAAUAUUUAAUUCCCCUGGUGAUUCCCCUUUAAGUUUUCGCUAUGAUGCAGUUAUGCGUGCUGUCUCCUUUAAGAGUUUGAGAAUGAGCACAAGAGAGAAAGUGUGCGUCAGAGGGGAACAGAGAUAGCGCUGAUAGAAGCAGCAGUUACAAGUGAGGAGAAAACAGUUGUUAAAAAUUGUUAAACGGAUAUAAUCCAGGCUGGUUAUCAGCUCGUGGAGCUGUGGUGGUUUCAGUUGUGUGACUGCACAGAGUGGAUGGCUUAAUUCAGUGUUUAUAUUAGUGUUUUGUUGCUGUACAUGGGAGAUCUCCGGUGGGGGAGGGGAUUCAGGCCUACUUCAACGGAGAUUGAGCAGGGGAGAACAAUGAUGUGAGAUCGCACAUGUGCCAGUUUCCCCGUGAUUGAUAAUCCAGAGUCUCAUAUAAGAGUGAGUUUUUCAUUCAUUUCUCCCAAAGUGUGUUUACCUAUAUGGCAUGAAAAGUAUUGUACCCUGUAUAACGUGUAUACUGUUACCUUUAGUCUAUUUACUGAUUAAUGUUUAAAAGAGGUUAAAAUGUGAACUGUGUAUACUGUGGGUGGUGCAUUUAGGUGGCAAAAUGUGCAGAUUGCUCAUGUAUGCUCAUGCUGUUGUGUUUUUUUGUUUUUGUCUGUUUUAUCAGGCACAGAUAGGCCACUGCCGUUGUUUUGCACACCUUUAUUGGUUCUUUAACAUUGGUUGCAUUAUUUCAAGUCAAAUGGGGCUUGUGAUCUUCUGUUUUGAUUAGAGGUUAUUACUGUAAAGAACUUAUUU